GGGAAUGUGGCUUAGUGGUAGAGUGCUUGCCUAGCAUGCAUGAAGCCCUGAGUUCAAUUCCUCAGUACCA
rfam:Dipodomys ordii contig_22136, whole genome shotgun sequence.